UACGUAGGCAGCAAGCGUUGUUCGGAAUUACUGGGCGUAAAGAGUGUGUAGGCGGUGCUCUGAGUUUGGUGUGAAAUCUCCCGGCUCAACUGGGAGGGUGCGCCGAAAACUGGAAUGCUUGAACAUGGAGAGGAAAGCGGAAUUCCUGGUGUAGCGGUGAAAUGACGCAGAUAUCAGGAGGAACACCGGUGGCGAAGGCGGGUCUCUGGGCAGUAACUGACGCUGAGGAGCGAAAGCGUGGGGAGCGAACAGG
rnacentral:rRNA from 1 species